rnacentral:lncRNA from 1 species
AAAAACAAGACGCUCUCUCGAGCGUUAAGUUGCUGGGGCUUUUUAAAUAGGCGCCUGCGUGAUUUGCAACGAGCGGUAAGAGUAUAUUCAACGAUUUGUGGGCUUGAUUUGUAAUUGUACAUAAGUUUAUUAAAUAGUGACACGUUGCAACAUAAUGUAUACAGCAAAUUUAAUUAAGGGAUGGACCAUUAGAAAAGUGAUGGGGGGGAUUUUCUAAGAGGCAAUAUUUUGUUUUUUGUACACCUAUAGAAGAAAUUUUUUUUGUCUCACUUGAUGGCUGGAAAUAUAUUUUUCUAUUAAAAUUUAUAGGCCUAUCUUCCAAGAAAGGAAUUUUUUUUGCACUCUGCCUGGGAAGAUUUUUUUCCUCUAAUUUUUUCCUGGGAAUAAAUUUUAUUGGUUCCCCCCCUCCCCAUCAGUUUUCUAAUGGUCCGUCCCUAAGGUCGUCAGGUCCGUUGCACAAUCAGGUCCGUUGCACAAGAGUUCAUCAUAUCGCUGAACCGAAGAAUUCCUACAGGUCAUAAAAGAGAUCCACUGAAGAAUUCCCGUUAAUACCCAUGAAGAGAGACCCUGGAAGAAUUUCAAUUUUUACAUUUGACCCCUCAGAAAAUCUCAUUCAAAAUAUCCAUUACCGGAUUACCCCCAAAGAAUUCCACACAGAAAAUAUUUGCUUAUCCCUGAGGAAUUCCAAAGCUAAAAAUUUAUCACCUCAUUCCAGCAGAAUUGAAAGCUGGAAUAGCCCAUUUUNNNNNNNNNNNNNNNNNNNNGAUUUUAGUAUUAAUCAUUUCAAUAUUUUUACGUCUUACAAUGUUCAAUAGAUUUGACUUUUACUAUCGCUACCAUUAAUGGAUCAUUAAAUAACCAAUCACACACGUUUGAUAUAUCCGAUGAGCCAAUCAGAUGCGUAUACUAAUCCGGUGAGAGGUACAGUGGAAGUCAAAUCUGAACCUCUCUUAUAAUAACUUUCAUUUUGAAGAAGAUCUUACCUGUAGGUUCCAGUUUUUGUUUUACGUUUCGGUAUACGUUUACUUAAUUCUCUCUUGUGAACAAAUUUUCUUUAGUAUUUCAGUGCGAGAAGAUCUUAGAAGUGCUGAAACACGUUUCAUUCAUAGAUCUGUAAGAUCUGCUUCACUUAUUUAUUUCAUAUCAGGGUGUGAUACUGUAAUUGAAGAUUUUUAGUUGUGCCUCACUGGUACUCCAAUGAUUAUCAUCAUGUAUACUAAGGUGCACUACAGUCUUUAAGAUAAAGUCCACAAAGCUACAAGAUAAUCAUCAUCAGUAAC